GAUUGAACGCUGGCGGCAGGCCUAACACAUGCAAGUCGAACGGUAACAGGAAGCAGCUUGCUGCUUUGCUGACGAGUGGCGGACGGGUGAGUAAUGUCUGGGAAACUGCCUGAUGGAGGGGGAUAACUACUGGAAACGGUAGCUAAUACCGCAUAACGUCGCAAGACCAAAGAGGGGGACCUUCGGGCCUCUUGCCAUCGGAUGUGCCCAGAUGGGAUUAGCUAGUAGGUGGGGUAACGGCUCACCUAGGCGACGAUCCCUAGCUGGUCUGAGAGGAUGACCAGCCACACUGGAACUGAGACACGGUCCAGACUCCUACGGGAGGCAGCAGUGGGGAAUAUUGCACAAUGGGCGAAAGCCUGAUGCAGCCAUGCCGCGUGUAUGAAGAAGGCCUUCGGGUUGUAAAGUACUUUCAGCGGGGAGGAAGGGAGUAAAGUUAAUACCUUUGCUCAUUGACGUUACCCGCAGAAGAAGCACCGGCUAACUCCGUG
rnacentral:rRNA from 1 species